ensembl:lncRNA
CAACCCUCUCACGUGCGGAUGCUGGAGACAGGAAUGCACCACACACAUGCUAUUACUUCUCACCUUAGAUACACUACGUACUGAUCUAUACACUACAUACUGAUCUAUACACUACGUACUGAUCUAUACACUACAUACUGAUCUAUACACUACAUACUGAUCUAUACACUACGUACUGAUCUAUACACUACAUACUGAUCUAUACACUACAUACUGAUCUAUACACAACAUACUGAUCUAUACACUACGUACUGAUCUAUACACUACAUACUGAUCUAUACACUACGUACUGAUCUAUACACUACGUACUGAUCUAUACACUACAUAUUGAUCUAUACACGACAUACUGAUCUAUAGUAGUGGAUGAUACACUACAUACUGAUCUAUACAAUACAUACUGAUCUAUAGUAGUGGAUGAUACACUACAUACUGAUCUAUACACUACAUACUGAUCUAUACUCUACAUACUGAUCUAUACACGACAUACUGAUCUAUAGUAGUGGAUGAUACACUACAUACUGAUCUAUAGUAGUGGAUGAUACACUACAUACUGAUCUAUACACUACAUACUGAUCUAUAGUAGUGGAUGAUAUAACACAUGAGAUCUCUCUCUCUCUCCAGCUGAUAUCCUGGUCUACAUCAAUGACAGUUGUGUCCUGGGUCUCUCUCAUAAAGAGGUGGUAGAGAUGUUGAAGUCUGUCCCUAUGGGUCACAGUGUGGACGUUGUGUUACGGAGAGGCUAUCCCAUGCUCUACAACCCAGACGGCUGUCCCAAACAACCCCUGACUCCCUCCGCCUCCUCCUCUCCUCUGGAACCCCUCAGUGCUGCAGCCACCCCUCCCUCCACAGCCACCGCUCAGCCCCUCUCCACCCCCGGUCCUGGCCCUACCGAGCCACCCCAACCUCCCGGCCUGGCUAACCUGAACCGUACCCUGUCUCAUCACAACGGAAACUAUCUCAGAGUGGCGGGAAACUCAGGGUCUGGGCUGGACGCUAACGGGAACGCGGCAGACCUGUUGUCGGCUCCCCCCUCCUACCCGCUGUCUAAUGGAAUCCUUAGCUCUUCCACCAGCUCAGCCUGCGCCCCCUCCUCCUCUCACAGUAGGGGCAUCCCCCCUCCUCCCCCGCCUGAACGAACCUCCGCCUCCGCCAGCCAGAGUGACUCAGAGGAAGGAGCCUCGGGUGGAGCGACACAGAGAUGGUCUCUGAUGCGCUACAACGCGAACUCCCUCCCCACCCCCUCCUCCAUACUCCACCACCAGAGUGACUUCACCACCUCCACCCUGCCCAUCUCCGUCUCCAAUCUGCCCCUGUCCCAGCCGGACGUGUGCACCGCCACCACCCCUGGAGCCCCCUGCCAACGGCCCCCCAUGCCCCAGACCUCCCUCAUGCUCCCCUCGCCCACGGAGGUCCCCCUUUGUGGCUUCAACGGCUGCCCAGCCAACGCCCAACCCCAUGGGAGCCACAGCGCGCCCAGUGAGGGAGUACCUGGUGGGGCUGGAGGAGGGGAGCUGGUCCCUGUGCCCCUGGGGAGGAGUGAGGGGGGUGGGAUGGGGUUCAGUGUGACGGCGGGGGGGCAGGGGGGGCAGCUGGCCCUGGUGAAGAGGGUCUGGGACAGAAGGCAGUGCUCCUCCCUGCAGCCAGGGGAUGCUAUAGUCAAGAUCAAUGGCGCUGACGUGCAGAGUCUCAGCUUCGCUCAGGUCCAGAGGGUUCUCCAGAAACACACCAGGCAGGGAGAAGUAGUGCUGUUGGUUUACAGAGGAGGUAAGACCAUUAACCUAUUUAACCUGUAUAAAUACUACCAUUACUACCACAAAUACACUAUUUACCUAUAUAACCUGUA